UGGACAGAUUAUUGUAUUCGACUGUAUUCACGGCGUAAAACAGGGGAUUACACUGUUUUUAAAUGGAAAGUGAAUCAAUUAACAUAAUAGACUCCU
rnacentral:pre_miRNA from 1 species